UUGACUAUACUUUCAGGAAUCAUUUCUGUAGUAUCCAACUAGAGAAAUGCACUUGAAAGUGAUUGGCUGAACAUCCCUAUGCAACACAGAAAAAGGAAGUAAAUGAUCAAAACAAUUCUCCUUUUUCAAGGAGAACUGGAUAAUGCAAAUCAUACUGAGUAAU
rnacentral:snoRNA from 1 species